AAUAAAACAGCACCUUCGUACAAAGGCUGAUAUCAAUAUUUUAAAGCAGGAGAGCUGUUUUGAAGCAGACAUUUUUCUAUCAUCAAAACAAAAAAACUUUUUAACUCCUUUCCUUUAUACCUAAAAGAAAAUAAAAAUAUCCAGCAAACAAACAAAAGAGCUACUUAGUUUUCAUUCAUCAGAAAUCACAACUCAAGCCCAGGUAUUCCGAUUUCAGAGUCCACACUUAAAACCACUGUGUCGUGCUGCCCCUCCUGCUUUGCUCUCCCUUCUUUGAGCUAGUUCAUGAUUUGUGAUACCUGCACAAAGACAGCAUAUAAUUGCCUUCUAUUUUGUCAACCUUCAUUUUUGACAAAAAAAUCUGCACUAAAAAAACUUUUUAAAUCACUAUUUUAAACAAUUCAAAAUUUUAUCUUAAUCCUUAAGUUUGGGUGUUCAAAAGGACCUAUCCAAAGUCCUGGCAAUGAGAGCUGGUUGGAAACACAUUGACAUGGAAAUUGGGCUAGAGUUUCAAAUAAGCUAAGAGAAUCAGUGUAUAAAGAACAUUGGGGGGCCAUUGAUACUACAUAUUCAGUGAACUGCCUAAGCUUGGCCUCCUAAGACUGGACCAUCUAGAAAAAUAGUCCCUUGGGAGGUAUGGCCUGAUUAAUGAUACUCUUUUUGUUGCAGGUGGUGCCAAAAAAUUACCAGAAGACACUGGCUCUGGAUUUUAUUGGGGUGACCAAGAGGAAGCCUGAUCUAAUGUCUCAUAUUGCUUUGGGAUUCCUUAUCUAAGGAAAUCCUUGGUGAGCUCCUGGUUAUGGCUAUCUGAAGAAGACCACACCAUCCAUAAUUUUACCUGAGAAAGAAAGACCUCCCUGAGUUGGCUAGACUGGACCAGCACUCUGCACAGACAGACCCACAAGCUUGAAACCCACGGCCAGUGGGCAGAAGUGUCUGUUCAGGGUGCAAGAAGAGGAAGACGACAAGGAGGACAUGUGGUUUUGUGCUGGAAGCCAUCUGUGACCACCACCUGCCAUCUAGGAAGAGUGCUCCUACCUUCAGCCAGGGCUUUGAGGAAAGGGAAUCUGACGACGGGUUUGACACGGAGGAGAAUCUACCUCCCGGGCUGAGCAGGCUGAGAGUGCAUGCGGCUUCUCUGGCCCGCAGCUUUAUGGGAGCACCAAGCACGUUAUUGACCCAGAGAAUGGCUUGUCGUCUUCCGGUGUGAAAGUCCAUGAGAAAUACACGGGGAAAUGUACGUCCACCCCGCGGGGAAGGCGGGGCAGGCCCCUGCAGCGGAUGGCAUUUUUCUCUGACUGCCUGGCA
rnacentral:lncRNA from 1 species